rnacentral:lncRNA from 1 species
UUUAAAACAAAAUAUUGACGAAAAAUGUAAAAAACCACGAAUUUACCGAUUUCUCCCCCCGUCUCCCCUGACGACCUCUACUUUGAUAUGCUUCGUGUCUUGGUCUUCAGUGUAUUUAUUCGCUGUGUCCAUCUGUUAUCUCUGACAUUCUAGCUAUGUGCUCUGCUCAGUUCCACUUAAGGGUGAUAAUUCUUUCUGUGGGAUCCGUCACUCCUGUCACAAUCCGAUAACUACAUGAAAUGCCUAAUGAGCGUUCCAUGGCACUUUGGUUAACACAAAUUUUAUUUAUAUUUUCUUGGUUGCUGCUAAAGUUUCUGUACUAUAUGUAAGUACUGGCAACACCCACUGACCAAAGACUUCGAGGUCUGCCUGAUACUGGUCCCCACUGGUGAUUUUUACUGAAAACAGUCGAAACAAAUCAAACAUCAGAAAGGUAUACUAAACAAAGAAGUAAGAUCCUUUGUCAUCAUUACCAUUACUAUUCAACUUGUGCUAGAAGCGAAAACCAAUAGAGAAUGGCUCCUGUACCAAAGGAGACACCAAGUUUUGGCAUUCGAUGGUAUAAAAAAUAUUAGCCAUGUAGAAACCUUCUACAAAUAACAAAUAUUUUCUGCCUACGGAUUGAAAAGUAGAUAUUUACAAAUGCACUUAGACCACCACAGAUAAAGUUGUUUUCAGUCAGUCAUUUGUUUAAAGAUAGAGGUUGAAUAUACAUUUUUAAUUAAACCAAAAAUAAGCUGAUAGGGUCAAUCGGGGCUAAUGUGAAACACACAAAACAUUGGGGCUAAUCUGAAACAUGUAAAUAACUUUAAAGUUUUAGUAGAUGAAGAUGUGGAGUAUAUGUCAUUUUGUAGCUAGUACAUUAAUUAAUUAAACCCCAUAUCAAACAUAGUCAAAAUCCACCUAACUGUAUAUAGAAAAAUAUAAAAAUCAUAGACUUUUAAGGAAAAAAACUUUUAAUCGGAAUGCCAAAACUUUUUCUCAGGCAUUAAAAAAUACAUUUAAAAACACAAUCAUUUAAUUACAAUGCAUUCUAUUAGAGUGAAUGAGCAUUUUUAGCUAUAAAUGUUUGUCCUAACUCUGACCAAACCUAAAAUAUUAUCCACCAAAGUCGAGGGGCUAAUAUGAAACGGUGUUUGGGGCUAAUGUAAAACACUCUCCAGUAUUAUUUCAAAACACACUCUAAGCAAAAAUAUUCUACAUUAUAAAAUUUGUAUCCGCCUACCACAUUUAAAAACAAAAUAGUUAUGUCUUUUUGUUUUUCUUUUUGUUUUAUUCAUGCAGCUUCUUCCUUUUUUACUCUGUGUCAAAGGUAGGCAUUUUUUCAGCUGGAAGUUUUCAGUCAGCUGUAUGACGGAAUUUGUAUAUAUAAGGAAGGUGACAUCUUCAAUAUAGAUUUCAUGGAAAUAGUUGCGGUUCUACCUUAUCCAGUAACCACUUUUAAGUCCA